rnacentral:pre_miRNA from 1 species
AAUAGAUGACGCCGUUGACUUUUUCUCACAUGUUUGACCAUUCGUCUUAUUCAAAAAAUUUAUGUAAUUAUAAUUUAUUUUGUUAUGAGUUGUUUUAUCACACAUGAUAUUUUAAGUGUGAUUUAUAUCUUAUAUAUUUGUAUAAAUUUUUUGAAUAAGACGAAUGGUUAAACAUGUGAGAAAAAAUCAACGGCGUCAUUUAUU